GGGCAUGUAGCUCAGCGGGAGAGCACUACGUUGACAUCGUAGGGGUCACAGGUUCGAUCCCUGUCAUGCCCA
rnacentral:tRNA from 1 species